rnacentral:lncRNA from 1 species
UUUUUUUCUUUGUUUCUUUUUUUUUUUUUUUCUUUUUAGGGCCUCACUUGUGGCAUAUGGAAGUUCCCAGGCUAGGGGCUAAAUCAGAGAUACAACUGCCGGCCUAUGCCACAGCCACAGCAAAAUGCAAUUCUGCCGUGUCUGUGACCUACACCACAGCUCAUGGCAACUCUGGUCCUUAACCCACUGAGGGAGGCCAGGGGUUGAACCAGCAUCCUCACAGAUACUAGUUGGGUUCUUUACUACUGAGCCACAAUGGGAACGCCCCAAAUUUUCCUCUUCUUAUAAGGACAUCAAUUACAUUGGAUUAAGGCCCAUUCCAAAGACAGCAUCCAAACUUGAUUAAACCUGCAAAGACCGUAUUUUCAAAUAAAGUGACAUUCACAUGUGCUGAGGAUUACCAUAGAUACAUAGAUAGUUAGAUAAUAGAUGAUAGGUAGGUAGAUAGAUAGAUAUGUAGUAAAGAAUUAAUAUUCUUAUAAACAAGCCUCAGUUUUUAUCUAUACAACAGAUAUAAUAAAACUGCCCUCAUAUGAUUGCUGUGAGGAUGAAAUAUGUGAACGAAUCUAGCAUGAGGCAGAAUUAGCUAUAUGGUUGAUGCUUGUAUUAAUAACUCAGGUAACUAUUUUCAGGUAGUAGUUACCUAACUCAGGUAACUAUUUUCAGAAGUAGUUUCAGGAAAGGAUUUUCACUGUGUUCUAUAUAUCUAUACGAUUCUAAAUACCACAUGUCAUCAAUUUAAAACAAAGCUUUAAGUCUCAUGGAUAUGGCCAAAAGAAGUACAUGAUUCAGAAAAGGCAUUAGGUUGCACUAGAACUUUCUUUAGCCUUGGAGUAUUCUACUAGAGAACAAAUAUAUAGAAUACUUGCAAAGUUAAUGUCUGGGGAUUCUGUUUUCCCCCUCUGUAAUAGUCCUAACUGUAUUUACACCAUAAGGCAGCAUUAGAUUUUUGGCUAAUUGCUGAAUUAGAUAAAUCUGGUGGCUUACGGCUUUCUUCUAUUUUCUUCUCUCACUAUUGGAUGUUUGGCUUUUAACGUUCUGGACAAUCACCUGUACUUCCCACUUUUCUUUGCCAAUUGGCACCAGCACAUUCAAAGUUAAAUUUAAUGCAAAGACAUCAUCUGGCACAUUUCUCUAAUCUCAAAAAGGUAAAUUCCCAAACCUCAGUUGAAGUAUUUCUAUUUUAGCCUGAAUUUUCAAGAUAAUUGCCUCCUCAUGUCUCCACUUAAUUUGGCUUGUGCAGAUACAAUCACAUGAACAAAUACAUGUUAAUGGAAAGCCUUCUUAGCUGUCAGUGAGUUGGACAUCCAUUGGGGAUGGUAUAUGGGAGCUCUGGAAUUUAUAAUCCUUUCCACUCUGCCAUUAAUUAAAAGUGCCCCAGAGACAGAUUGGGAGUGACCCAGGGUGAAGGGGUUGAAGGUUAAGCCUUUUAGCUUUGAGCCUCCAGUUUGAAUCUGAUCUAAGCUGGUAAUAAAUAAGAGCUACUGCUAUUUGAUAUCAGUUUGGUGAAUCAUGUGAAAUGAAUUAGUAAUCUCAGGCUUGUUCUGGUGGACAGGUGUCCUCAUACAGUGGGAGCUGAUAGCCUUUGCAGAAGAACACAACAACCUAAAAAAGAUGGAAAUAAAAUGGCUUCACAAAUAUUCUCUUACCUUGCUAAGAUUGCUGUUCAGUAACAUGGAAAAGUAAGAAACCUUAGGAUUCCAUAUGCCCAGCUUGUAAAUGGCUAUGGGAAUAAAAGGGAUCAGGAUGGGCUUAAUAAGACCCAGAGAGUGGGUCAAAUGGGAAUCAGGUGGUGGGUCUAAGAGAAAUUUAAUAUCCUUGGCUUCUCAUUUUUUCCCCCUUUCUGUUUGGUUGUCAUGGGAAUCUGUAUUUGUGGAAGAAAUACUGACUGCAUUUGCCCAGGGCAGAUGUAUGUACCCUCUAGCCUUCAAAUUUAGCAUUACUAGGACAGAAGGAUUUGUGGCUGGAUAGAAUGAAGGCGAGUCAUACCGGUAAUUCUGGCAGGCAAAAUAAAACAUUGCAAGCAUUAAAAAAAAUUUUUUUUUUCCAAAAGAUAUCAUGUACUGAAUUGAAAUAAGAUCAAAACUUGUUUUACUAAACUGAGGAAGGCUAUUUAGAGCUUAGUUUAACUCAAAUUUUGUUAUUAGGAUUAAUCCAGUAGUACUUUCACCCAUCUUUUAAAUGUAUAUUGAGGAAGAACUGCAUUUUUUUUUUAAUAAUAGAAAAAAAAAAAUGGGGCAGCCCUGAGGAAUUAAGUGGAGGAAAAAGACAUCCAACCUUCAAUGUACUUAACUUUAUUUUUCUUUUUGUGAAAGAAAAUAUGAAUCAUUAAUAUCAACUACAUCUUGCUGGUUUUAGUAAGCUUCAACAGGCAAAAUGUACUAGUUCUUUCUGAAUCAGGUUUGUGAAGUUAUUUGUGCAUGUGUGUAUGUGGGUAUGUGAAGUACCAGCUUUGUGCAUAUACAAUAGUGCUAAAGAAAUCAUAAUGUUUUCCUUAGCACUUUUUAUCUGACAGAGUCUUUGAAAAUAAAUUCAUCAGAUUGUGGUGAGUAAUAUCUUUGGCUAAGAUCUAAACACUACAAACAUGAUGAACCUAUGAAUAUGUUUUCUUGAUUUUCUUCUUUAAAAUGUCUUAACUUGCUAUUGUUCCUCUUUGUAACUCAUCCCAAACCAAGUAAUUCCAUUUUGUUUCUGUUUGUUUAGUGAUUACAUCAUGUUGCCAUUAUAAAAGAGUCCCAUUACCUGAGUCUGGAACUUUUAAAAACUCCUUUUUCCGUCUCUUCAUCCCCCCAUCCUGGCAAACUGCUCUUUCAUUUCCUGCCAGGUAGAUAAUCUAAUAAAUGCUUUCACAUCAAAGGUUAAUACCUGAUUAUGGAUUAAAUAUGAAAGCUGAGCCACAUUGAAUAGUCUGUAUUUGUUUCUGACAUAGAAUAGUAGUUUCUUCAUAUGGUUCCGCCUAUGACUCCUUAAUUUGCAUUUAAGAACAAAACUGCAUUGGUUUCUCAUGGUAAAAUUAGGGGAUUAGAGUCAUGGCAGUCAGUGACAACAAUAGUUUGGGGAAUAGAAAUCCUUUACUGAGAGUUCCCAUCAUGGCUCAGUGGAAGGGAACCCAACUAGUAUCCUUGAGGACCCAGGUUCGAUCCACGGCCUUGCUCAGUGGGUUAAGGAUCCGGCCUUGGUUGCCAUGAGCUGUGGUGUGAGUCACAGACGUGGCUGUGGCAUAAGCCAGGAGCUACAGCACCGAUUCAACCCCUAUCCUGGGAACUUCCAUAGACUGAGAGUUCAGCCCUAAAAAGACACACACACACACACAAAGAAAAAG